GACAAAGCCGAGGGACACAGCCCGCAAAAUGUCACCUGUCCCGCGCCAGCUACCUGUGGAGCAGCAUCGCCGUGCCAGGCCUGGGCACCGCGGCACCGAGGGGAUGAGAAAUCCGUCUCCUGCUAUUCCUGGUCCCUCUGUCCUUGGCAGAGCUGGCAGUGCCCGCGGGAGGUGCCGGCAGAGCGCAGCGGAAGGCGGAGGAGAGGGGACAGAUCCCGGGGGUGCCCCCGUGCCUUGCGGCAAUCCGGCUGCUUCCUUCCACGCCGGGCCGGCCGGAGGAGCCGAAAUGCCACUGUCGCCUUCUGCUGGAGCCCCUGCCCGCCUGCCGGGCCCUGAUUCAUCCCCAGCACGGGAGGAUGCGGCUGCCGAAGCCGCGGGGCUGGCCAGGCUGGGCUACACUCGGAAGCUCGGCUCCCACCUGCGCUUCAGCCUCUCCCCAUGGCAGCCAGGAGGGCACGCACUGGGAUGAGCUUCUCCUCCGGGACCUGCUCCCUGUCGGAGCCAGGGACAUUUCUGCCUUAGGGACUGCGUCAGGACACAGAGAGCUCGGCUGGGUUUGGCAGCCCCCUGAGCCAGGAGGACAUCACCGAGCCAGAUCUUUCUGGGAGCUGCCUCUGACUGGAUCCCCUCCUCCCGGUGCCAGGCUGGGUUUUGCCGUGUGCUGCCCAUGGAAGCAGGACCGGAUCCCUGUGCCCCGACUCUUCCCCACGAGGAAUCCCCACGAGGAGCUCUCCACACCCCACAACACGAGUUUCUGGAAGUCUCCGCUGCGAGCACGAGUCGCAAAAGAACCUCUUAUUUUUGCGGCAGAGCUGAUUAAUUUGCUGAUGACCUGCCUUGCACCCCUGCCACGAUUCCCAACCCUCUCCCAGCUGCAGCAUGGGGCUGUUUUUCGCCAAGCAGCCCCAAAGCCGGCGGCAGCAGGCUCCGGGAUGGCUCAGUUCCCCAGAACCGCUGCAGGUGGCACUCCGGCCCCGCCGGCUGCCAGCGCUGCUGGCACCGAGUCAGGGCAUGAGCUCCAACUUUACAGCAGAUUUUCCCUUCUGACAGAUUACUGCUUCAUUUGUAACAGAAGAACUUCUCAUUAAGUACAUUUUUGACAUUUUGUUGAAGGGGGGGAGGAAAAAAAAUAAAAUCCUCGUGUAGCCGAGCGUGCCGGAGCGU
rnacentral:lncRNA from 1 species